rnacentral:rRNA from 1 species
AUUGAACGCUGGCGGAAUGCUUUACACAUGCAAGUCGAACGGCAGCACGGACUUCGGUCUGGUGGCGAGUGGCGAACGGGUGAGUAACAUAUCGUAACGAAUCCAAUAAUGGGUGAUAACGAGUAGAAAGAUUAGCUAAUACCGCAUACGCCCUACGGGGGAAAGCUGCGGACCUUCAGGCCUGGCGUUAAUGGAGCGGCCGAUAUCUGAUUAGCUAGUUGGUGAGGUAAAGGCUCACCAAGGCGACGAUCAGUAGCUGGUCUGAGAGGACGACCAGCCACACUGGAACUGAGACACGGUCCAGACUCCUACGGGAGGCAGCAGUGGGGAAUUUUGGACAAUGGGCGCAAGCCUGAUCCAGCCAUUCCGCGUGAGUGAAGAAGGCCUUCGGGUUGUAAAGCUCUUUCGCAAGGGAAGAAAACUUAGCCACUAACAUUGGUUGAGGUUGACGGUACCUUGAUAAGAAGCACCGGCUAACUACGUGCCAGCCGCCGCAGUAA